rnacentral:rRNA from 1 species
CCCGACUCCUACGGGAGGCAGCAGUGCGGAAUAUUGGUCACUGGUCGGGAGCCUGCCCCAGCCAAGCCGCUUGAGGGAGUACGGUACAGAGUAUCUUCCCCCUCUUUUGUCCUUGAACAAAGGCGGGGACGUGUCCCCUUCUGAGUGUACCUGCCUAAAAAGCCUCUGCUAACUCCGUUCCCUCAGCCGCGUGCCUACGGAGGAUUCGCUCUUUAUCCGGAUUUAUUGGGUUUAAAGGGUGCGUAGGCGGAGGUUCAAGUCAGAGGGAAAAUUUCGGGGAGCAACCCCGUCGUGCCGUUGAAACUGACGCCCUUGAGUGAGUGAGAAGGAAGCGGAAUGCGUGGUGUAGCGGUGAAAUGCAUAGAGAUCACGCAGAACGCCGAUUGCGAAGGCAGCUGACCGGCGCUCAACUGACGCUGAGGCACGAAAGUGCGGGUAGCGAACAGGAUUAGAUACCCGCGUAC